rnacentral:lncRNA from 1 species
GACUGUGUCACCUGCCCCCUGAGCGUUCUGGAGCGCCAAGCUUCGCGAUCUUUGCCUUCCGGACUCGCAGACCGGCUCAAAGCCUCCCCUCAGCCUCUGGCUCCGUGAUUGGCAGGCAGCUGACAGAAGAAAAGUUAAAAGGUUAUUUCUGAAGAAGAGUUUCCUUCAGUGCCCUAAAGACCAACUGGAUAGAAGGAGAGCGGAGCAGAGGCUUGGAAGCUUGGAUCCCUCCUCCUGCACUCCCUCCCGGCCCCGACUCCGGAACAAAACAAGCAAACAAUAAAGCAAACUUGUUGCUCUUUUGUCUCAAAGUUUUGUUUACAUUUUGGACAAAUUUUUACGGAUACUGGAGAUGAGAAGUGGACUCUGCUCUGUCCUGAAAACCUGGAAUCAUAACAUUUCAUGGCUAGGACUAGAGUGUCCUUGGCGCUGUGUUUCUGGUUGUCAGCGGCAGGCUGCAAUUUUAAUUCUGUAAACGUGGCUGGCUCAGCAGGGAAGGAGUGUAUGAGGAGACUGUGUA